GAUCCAGCCCUCUGAGCAUCAUCUGGAUUCACUCCAAUAUCUCCAUGUCCUUCCUGAGCUGCCUUGUGUCCUAUCCUGUGGAGCUGGAACCUCACAGAAAGGUGCUUGUGACCAAUAAGUGGUGCCAGGAGCUCCUUCCCAGUGCUGCCAGUGCUUCUACACCCUGGUCAUGGCAUGAUUAUUGCCAUAGUACAUGGACAUCAGGGUUCAUAAAUUCCUAAGAAUGAAAUUUCACCUGAGAGAGUCGUGAGUGAAGAACCAGUUCAAAAGUGUCAAGCUAACUAGAACCAGUUCAAAAGUGGCAAGGUUCAUUGCAUGCAGUCUGAGCUCUGGAGGGAGCUGGGAGGAGAUCCAUAGCACAUCCAUCUGCCUCCACAUCAUUUCAGAGAGGAAGAAUUGUCCCUGGCACGCAGCAAAGCCUUGCUAUGCAAUCAACUUAAGCCUUGAAGCAUGAAAUUUGAUUUUCUUUACCAUAGGAGUUUUUUCACAGCAGCAACAGCAAACCUAACACAGGGACACAGCUGAAAUCACAACAAACUGCAUAAGGGCAGAGAAGAAUGGAAGGAAACACUUGGACCAGUUUUUCUGCCAAAGAAAAUGUCCAUGUGAUGACAUCGUCUUGAUAUAGAAUCAGCACAUGAGAUUGCCUUGGAAAAGGCUGGAGAAGAUGUUUGGGCCUUAUUAAAGCUGCAUGGACAUAAAUAGACAUGCAGGAGUACAACUUGUGGUCUAUGUUUCAUCCCAAUAUUACCUGACUGGUCCACAAAGAAAAGCAGAUGUGAACACAAGGUUUGUCCAAACUCCCUUUCCAAGCACUGCUUCCAGCCUGCUGAGGAGGCACUUUUUUGUUUUGAAAGAGCUGAGCCAAGCCCCAGUAUUGCAGAACUGAAGCUCCUGAGGUGGGUUUUGAUGCUGCAUCUGCCUAAGCUGACAGAGGAGUCCCCUUCUCUCCACAAACCAGUGCCAGCUUUCCUGCCCCACUGAGUGCUGUGCAGGAACAGGCUCCCACCCAAACAGGACCAGUGCUGA